rnacentral:rRNA from 1 species
ACGGAAGGCAGCAGUGAGGAAUAUUGGUCAAUGGGCGGAAGCCUGAACCAGCCAUGUCGCGUGCAGGAUUACGGCCCUACGGGUCUUAAACUGCUUUUUAUUGGGGAUAAAGUGGGGGACGCGUCCCCUAUUGCAGGUACCAAUCGAAUACGGAUCGGCUAACUCCGUGCCAGCAGCCGCGGUAAUCCGGAGGAUCCGAGCGUUAUCCGGAUUUAUUGGGUUUAAAGGGUGCGUAGGCGGGCUGUUAAGUCAGGGGUGAAACCCCCGGGCUCAACCCGGGGACUGCCAUUGAAACUGGCGGCCUAGAGUACGUUGGGAGUGCGCGGAAUGUGUGGUGUAGCGGUGAAAUGCAUAGAUAUCACACAGAACACCGAUCGCGAAGGCAGCGCACUAAGCCGCAACUGACGCUGAGGCACGAAGGCGCGGGGAUCGAACAGGAUUAGAUACCCUGGUA